UACGAGAGGCCCAAACGUUAUUCGGAAUUACUGGGCUUAAAGAGUUCGUAGGCGGCGCAGAAAGUAGGGUGUGAAAGCCCUCGGCUCAACCGAGGAAUUGCGCUCUAAACUACUGUGCUUGAGGAACCUAGAGGUGAGCAGAACAGAUGGUGGAGCGGUGAAAUGCGUUGAUAUCAUCUGGAAUACCGGAGGCGAAGGCGGCUCACUGGGGGUUUUCUGACGCUGAGGCGCGAAAGCCAGGGGAGCAAACGGG
rnacentral:rRNA from 1 species